AGUGAACGCUGGCGGUAGGCCUAACACAUGCAAGUCGAACGGCAGCACAGUAAGAGCUUGCUCUUACGGGUGGCGAGUGGCGGACGGGUGAGGAAUACAUCGGAAUCUACUUUUUCGUGGGGGAUACCGUAGGGAAACUUACGCUAAUACCGCAUACGACCUACGGGUGAAAGCAGGGGAUCUUCGGACCUUGCGCGAUUGAAUGAGCCGAUGUCGGAUAGCUAGUUGGCGGGGUAAAGGCCCACCAAGGCGACGAUCCGUAGCUGGUCUGAGAGGAUGAUCAGCCACACUGGAACUGAGACACGGUCCAGACUCCUACGGGAGGCAGCAGUGGGGAAUAUUGGACAAUGGGCGCAAGCCUGAUCCAGCCAUACCGCGUGGGUGAAGAAGGCCUUCGGGUUGUAAAGCCCUUUUGUUGGGAAAGAAAAGCAGCAGGUUAAUACCCCGCUGUUCUGACGGUACCCAAAGAAUAAGCACCGGCUAACUUCGUG
rnacentral:rRNA from 1 species